AUUUCCAUACACAACAUUAUGUAUUUCAGCCGUCUACAGGAAAUUUUGCGCUAUCCGGCGUGAAAUUGCAGGCCCUUUAUGGGCUAGGUUUACAGCAGUAUUGCUGCAUGAAAAUCAUACUGUACCUCUUUUAUUGAAACCAGGCUUUCAAAGAAUUUACAUGUCGUACUAUUGAUCGAGUUCUACGUAUUCAAAGUAUUUCAAUAUGUUCCAUUCCCGUUGUCCCUUGAACAUCACUGACAUUAAAACUAAAGUUAUUGAAUUGAAAAUGUAUCAAUUUUCAUUUUGGUAUACACCAUUCGAGAACUGACAUUCCAUUCACGAACAUUAAAUCCUGGAGCAAAACAUGCGAUUCAUAUCCGUUGAAUUGUCUCCCCUGCACACUCGAAUACCGUGCUUUAAGGGGGAAAAGGAAAGAAUUUCAAUGAUCAUUAGGUACUCAUCAAAAUUUCCAUACACAACAUUAUGUAUUUCAGCCGUCUACAGGAAAUUUUGCGCUAUCCGGCGUGAAAUUGCAGGCCCUUUAUGGGCUAGGUUUACAGCAGUAUUGCUGCAUGAAAAUCAUACUGUACCUCUUUUAUUGAAACUAGGUGUUCAAAGAAUUUACAUGUCGUACUAUUGAUCGAGUUCUACGUAUUCAAAGUAUUUCAAUAUGUUCCAUUCCCGUUGUCCCUUGAACAUCACUGACAUUAAAACUAAAGUUAUUGAAUUGAAAAUGUAUCAAUUUUCAUUUUGGUAUACACCAUUCGAGAACUGACAUUCCAUUCAUGAACAUUAAAUCCUGGAGCAAAACAUGCGAUUCAUAUCCGUUGAAUUGUCUCCCCUGCACACUCGAGUACCGUGCUUUAAGGGGGAAAAGGAAAGAAUUUCAAUGAUCAUUAGGUACUCAUCAAAAUUUCCAUACACAACAUUAUGUAUUUCAGCCGUCUACAGGAAAUUUUGCGCUAUCCGGCGUGAAAUUGCAGGCCCUUUAUGGGCUAGGUUUACAGCAGUAUUGCUGCAUGAAAAUCAUACUGUACCUGUUUUAUUGGAACCCGCCUUUAGUAUAUCAGAUGAUAUAUGUGGCAAUGCUAGCAUACUUACCUGGUACAGGGGCUACCGUGAUCAGGAACGGCGGUGCCCCCAGGUCGAGGCCUAACCAUUGCACUCCGGUCGGGCUGAACCCUGCGAUAAUCCCAAAUGCGGAUUACUCGGGUACGCUAUUUUUUAGUGUGGGGGUCUGCGUUCGCGCUAACCCCUGUUCAUAAAGUAACAAGAGAACAACAAUGCCCACGUAUAUAGCGACAUUCAACGCUACAUUUACACUUAAUCAACAUGCUUUAUGGUAUUGGUUUCCUAAGAAAAUGAUAAACCAGCAACACAAAGAAUGCUACAGAGUACCAAACACAGUAUAAUUCAACACGUUCAAGCUUUAUAAUUUCCAAACGAAUGGCAAUCGUAAUUUCAUAAUGCAUUCACAUUAUGUAUGAUCUCUUAACAUCACCGAAAACUAUUUUAAUAGUGGUAGCAUUUGCUCCGGGUAUCAUGCAAAAUAUAUUCUUCACAUGUCACACAAGGUAGCACACUACAGUAGGACAGCCUGGCCAUGGGCGAUUUUUUUUGUUAAGCAAAUAACUCCUGUAUUAUGAUAUGCAUAAAAAUGAAAAAAUAAAUGUACACUAUAAUUGGUAUAUUCAGUAUGAAGUAGUACAUACAUGCUUCACAUUUGUUAAAACAAAAUUUAAUGAAUUGGUUCCCGAUUUUAAAUUUCAGGAUUUUCCGAAAGCGCGUUUACAGAGGAAAUUUAGUUUUGCCUACAGCGAAAAUGGAAGUCCACAGUCAAGAAUUGGGCAUUCUUACUGUACACUGCUACCACAAUCAAAAUUGUCUCUGAAAGGUGUUUUAGACGACUCAAUCUGAGGCAGACGAAAGCGUCAACGAAUCUUCGUAUUUCUCUGUGACUGGACAGCGCUUACAUGCAAUCAAACUUUCCAUACACAACAUUAUGUAUUUCAGUUUCUGUCUACGGGAAAUUUUGCGCUGUCAGGCGAGAAAUUGCCGGCCCUAUUUGAGCUAGGUUUACAACAGUAUUGCUGCAUGAACAUUCUACUGUACCUCUUUUAUUGAAACCAGGCUUUCAAAGAAUUUACAUGUCGUACUAUUGAUCGAGUUCUACGUAUUCAAAGUAUUUCAAUAUGUUCCAUUCCCGUUGUCCCUUGAACAUCACUGACAUUAAAACUAAAGUUAUUGAAUUGAAAA